rnacentral:rRNA from 1 species
CCUACGGGAGACAGCAGUGAGGAAUAUUGGUCAAUGGACGAGAGUCUGAACCAGCCAAGUAGCGUGAAGGAUGACUGCCCUAUGGGUUGUAAACUUCUUUUAUAUGGGAAUAAAAUGUUCCACGUGUGGGAUUUUGUAUGUACCAUAUGAAUAAGGAUCGGCUAAUUCCGUGCCAGCAGCCGCGGUAAUCCGGAGGAUCCGACCGUUAUCCGGAUUUAUUGGGUUUAAAGGGGGCGUAGGUGGAUUGUUAAGUCAGUUGUGAAAGUUUGCGGCUCAACCGUAAAAUUGCAGUUGAAACUGGCAGUCUUGAGUACAGUAGAGGUGUGCGGAAUGCGUGGUGUAGCGGUGAAAUGCUUAGAUAUCACGAAGAACUCCGAUUGCGAAGGCAGUUCACUGGACUGCAACUGACACUGAGGCUCGAAAGUGUGGGUAUCGAACAGGAUUAGAUACCCUUGUAGUC